rnacentral:rRNA from 1 species
GAUGAACGCUGGCGGCGUGCCUAAUACAUGCAAGUCGAGCGAACAGAUGAGGAGCUUGCUCCUCUGACGUUAGCGGCGGACGGGUGAGUAACACGUGGAUAACCUACCUAUAAGACUGGGAUAAAUUCGGGAAACCGGAGCUAAUACCGGAUAAUAUAUUGAACCGCAUGGUUCAAUAGUGAAAGACGGUUUUGCUGUCACUUAUAGAUGGAUCCGCGCCGCAUUAGCUAGUUGGUAAGGUAACGGCUUACCAAGGAAACGAUGCGUAGCCGACCUGAGAGGAUGAUCGGCCACACUGGAACUGAGACACGGUCCAGACUCCUACGGGAGGCAGCAGUAGGGAAUCUUCCGCAAUGGGCGAAAGCCUGACGGAGCAACGCCGCGUGAGUGAUGAAGGUCUUCGGAUCGUAAAACUCUGUUAUUAGGGAAGAACAAAUGUGUAAGUAACUAUGCACGUCUUGACGGUACCUAAUCAGAAAGCCACGGCUAACUACGUG